rnacentral:rRNA from 1 species
ACUGUUUCGGCUAGGGGGCCAUCCCGGCUUACCAACCCGAUGCAAACUGCGAAUACCGGAGAAUGUUAUCACGGGAGACACACGGCGGGUGCUAACGUCCGUCGUGAAGAGGGAAACAACCCAGACCGCCAGCUAAGGUCCCAAAGUCAUGGUUAAGUGGGAAACGAUGUGGGAAGGCCCAGACAGCCAGGAUGUUGGCUUAGAAGCAGCCAUCAUUUAAAGAAAGCGUAAUAGCUCACUGG